rnacentral:rRNA from 1 species
CAGCAGCCGCGGGAACACGUAGGUGGCAAGCGUUGUCCGGAAUUAUUGGGCGUAAAGGGCUCGCAGGCGGUUUCUUAAGUCUGAUGUGAAAGCCCCCGGCUCAACCGGGGAGGGUCAUUGGAAACUGGGAAACUUGAGUGCAGAAGAGGAGAGUGGAAUUCCACGUGUAGCGGUGAAAUGCGUAGAGAUGUGGAGGAACACCAGUGGCGAAGGCGACUCUCUGGUCUGUAACUGACGCUGAGGAGCGAAAGCGUGGGGAGCGAACAGGAUUAGAUACCCCCGUAGUCCUGUCUCUUAUACA